GCCACAUGAAGGACAACUUUGGUGAGAUUCAAUUAGAAGAUGCAUUAAAUUCAUUUUCUUCAAUCAAUGUGGAUAUAAACUUGAACAAGGAUAAAUAAAAAGCAGUCAGAAAGGAUGAGAAUCAAUGCCGGCAGUCACAUUUUAGUGGAAAACAACUUGUGGUCGGCAGUUCAAGGUGGAAUUUUAAGGAUGGGACUCCUCGAGCAACAUCGCCAUUCUUUGAACCAUCUGACACUAUGGUUAGGUUUCGGGAAGCACAUAAUAGGGGUGAGCUGGUUCCAAUUUCUUUUACGAUGGAAGAGAUGGCUAGCGAUAUUAUAAGGGAUGAUGGAAGUAUAUAGAUACGAGGGCAGUGCCAAAUGACCCACUUGAUUCUGAUGAUAAUGUUCUCCAAGAGGUAGAGAGAAGUGCUUAACUGUUCGGUAUGUUUCGCUUCUACCUCAUUAGUUCAUUUAUGGUUGAUUUUAAAAUGUUUGUUUGAAACGGUCAAGGAUGUGAUCAUCCUAGAUUCAGUAAAAUUACUAAAGAACAUUGUAGAAAAUUUGACUUUGAGAUGAUUGCUUUACUUAAAACACGAAUCAGUGGUUUUUCCCAGUGUAUUGAAACUUAUAGGUUUGCAGAUGGAAUUUGGCUCUUUUGGAAAGAUUGUUUGCAUGUGGAGGUGAUUCUGAAACAUUCGCAUUUUUUAUAGGUUUCUGAGUAUAUGGUAUUGAGUGUAAGCUUUUUUGCACUUUUACCUAUGCUAGUCCUCAAUCAAUCAAAGGAAGAUGUUUAGGGAAUGUUUAAAAUUUCUUGUACAGGAUACUCGAUUGCUUUGGAUGGGG
rnacentral:lncRNA from 1 species